AUAGUUUUAGAUAACAAUGGAGCUCUAUGGCACAGAGGAAGAAGAUAUAUCCGACAUACACAAUACUUGUUAGUAGAUACAUUCAUUGUUGGUUUAGGACUUUUCACAGGAUUUGUUGACAAUAAGAUAUGGAGUAACACCGGUCUUAUCCUUUAAGUUUACUCAGGAACUUCAGAUUCCCCGUCUGUUCAUUGCUGUCUUCCUCUUUCUUUUUGCAAUCUUGUCUGUCAUCAUGUUCUGCCAUCUUCUCUCCAUCUUCUUGUCUUUAUGUGAACUUACCUAUUUCAUUCAUUCCACCCUCCAGGGUGUAGGGGCUUAUGGGAAGAAAGCCCUGGAUAUAACCAGAGAGGAUUACGGGGCCUUGCCUAGCUGGAAGCAGGUGAACUUGAAGAAAGCCAAAGGCCUUUUCUGAAUGUUUGAAACAGAGAGCUGACCUGAAGACAUCAGAAAAAAAGCCCCCAGGAGGUUGUUUUGUCUCGUUUACGUUGGGACCCAGCCGAGGCUCAGGGGUAGCCUCUCCUGAGCUGUGAUGGCGGGUUGAGGAGGGGAGUACUGAAGGUGCGGAAGAGGUGAUUAGUGACUGAGAGGUGUGGCAGCUUCUUGUGCUGCAGUUUUCCUUCCCAUCUGUUUUUUGCAUUGCUUUUAAAGUAGGAGACAAACAUAAGCGGAUGCACCUCUGAGUGGAUGUGUUAAUAGUUCUUUACAGUCUCACUCUGUUAAUGUUUGUACAUAUGUACCAUACGCAGGACAGCCAGUGCCGUUACCUUGUCAGCCAUCUGUUAGAGUGGGAGCAGGCCUGUCAGCCCGCUCAGCACACAUCAGAUCCUCUGCUAUUCUUAUAUGUAUACUUGUGCAUUACAGAUAAUUUAUAUCAAAUCCAUAUAGGAAUUUAAAAAAAGGCUUCAUGAAUAUUCACUGAGCUAAAAAUGAUUGAAUAAACUGUAUAAUGAAUGUUGAGGAUAUGUUAAUGUUAAUAAAUACUGGAUAUUGCAAAAAUUCUCUCGUGCUGUACAGUUCACCAUUUGCCGUUUACAAAUCAAAUGAUGCAGCUUUGUUUGAAUGUGUCUAGUGUCAUUAUUGUUUCAUAUAGGAGAAAGCAUACAGGCUGGAUUAAAGGCACAGAGAGAGAUGAUGAUGAAAUGUAUUUGAUUUUUAAAUCCUACAGUGUAUAGUGCCUUGCUUUGUGUACAGUUUAUAUACAGAUGCUAGUCUGCAUUUUGAAGACUUUUUGUGAUAUAAAAAAAUAUUAGAGAAAUAAACCCUGAAAGUUGGAUAUUAGAACAGUG